rnacentral:rRNA from 16 species
GUGAGACAGGUGCUGCAUGGCUGUCGUCAGCUCGUGUUGUGAAAUGUUGGGUUAAGUCCCGCAACGAGCGCAACCCUUAUCCUUUGUUGCCAGCGAUUAGGUCGGGAACUCAAAGGAGACUGCCAGUGAUAAACUGGAGGAAGGUGGGGAUGACGUCAAGUCAUCAUGGCCCUUACGACCAGGGCUACACACGUGCUACAAUGGCGCAUACAAAGAGAAGCGACCUCGC